rnacentral:rRNA from 1 species
AGCGAACGCUGGCGGCAGGCCUAACACAUGCAAGUCGAACGAUCCUUCGGGAUAGUGGCGGACGGGUGAGUAACACGUGGGAACGUGCCCUUUGGUUCGGAACAACUCAGGGAAACUUGAGCUAAUACCGGAUGUGCCCUUCGGGGGAAAGAUUUAUCGCCAUUGGAGCGGCCCGCGUAGGAUUAGCUAGUUGGUGGGGUAAUGGCCCACCAAGGCUCCGAUCCUUAGCUGGUCUGAGAGGAUGAUCAGCCACACUGGGACUGAGACACGGCCCAGACGCCUACGGGAGGCAGCAGUGGGGAAUCUUGCGCGAUGAGCGAAAGCCUGACGCCGCCAUGCCGCGUGAAUGAUGAAGGUCUUAGGAUUGUAAAAUUCUUUCACCGGGGACGAUAAUGACGGGACCCGGAGAAGAAGCCCCGGCUAACUUCGUGCCAGCCGCCGCCGUAACAC